rnacentral:SRP_RNA from 1 species
GCUGGGUGUGGUGGCGUGCGCCUGUAAUCCCAGCUACUCAGGAAGCUGAGGCAGAAGAAUCGCUUGAACCCGGGAGGCGGAGGUUGCAGUGAGCCGAGAUUGCGCCACUGCACUUCAGCCUGGGCGACAGAGCGAGACUCUGUCUCCA